UGAGGCCAGUGAUGGGAGGUGACAUGAGUGUACAGUCUAUGGCCCGCACCAUUUGGUAAUUGGAGGGAAAGAAGGUGCGUACUCUAUGGCCCUUGCCCAAGUAGUGACAGGAGGUGACGGACGUGAAAAUGUAAUGGUCCUCACUGGGUCGACUUCUAGAUGCACUUGGCCAUUGCAUCCCAGGAUUGUGACAAUUGCCUUUGUUAUUUCCGUGAUAAAACCUAUCCAUAGUUUUGUUCUGCUGCAGUAUCAUUGUUGGUCGUAUCAACAUUUGGACUCCUUGUCAUCUUGUAUGUUUACUAUCUUAAGCCAAAGUUCUGACAGUGUCCAACAAGUUGACGGAAAGCCGUGUAAUUUUCACAUUGAUAGAUGACGGAAGCUUAAGAAGCACUUAGUUCCAGCUCUCACUGUGCUAUAAAAGUUGUAUGUAUUUUUGGUGUCACAAAGAAAGCAACCUCCAGCUGACCUUAAGGACCAUGA